rnacentral:rRNA from 1 species
AUUGAACGCUGGCGGCAUGCCUUACACAUGCAAGUCGAACGGCAGCACGGGAGCAAUCCUGGUGGCGAGUGGCGAACGGCGAGUAAUAUAUCGGAACGCGCCCAGUCGUGGGGGAUAACGUAGCGAAAGCUACGCUAAUACCGCAUACGAUCUAUGGAUGAAAGCGGGGGAUCGCAAGACCUCGCGCGAUUGGAGCGGCCGAUAUCAGAUUAGGUAGUUGGUGAGGUAAAGGCUCACCAAGCCGACGAUCUGUAGCUGGUCUGAGAGGACGACAAGCCCAACUGGGACUGAGACACGGCCCAGACUCCUACGGGAGGCAGAAGGGGGGAAUUUUGGACAAUGGGCGCAAGGCUGAUCCAGCAAUGCCUCGUGCAGGAUGAAGGCCUUCGGGUUGUAAGCUGCUUUUGUACGGAACGAAACGGCGAGCUCUAAUACAGUUUGCUAAUGACGGUACCGUAAGAAUAAGCACCGGCUAACUACGUGCCAGCCGCCGCCGUAA